UCCGGUUGAUCCUGCCGGAGGUUACUGCUAUCGAGGUUCGACUAAGCCACGCGAGUCGAAUGUAGCAAUACAUGGCGUACUGCUCAGUAACACGUGGACAACCUGCCCUUAGGUCGGGUAUAAACCCGGGAAACUGGGUAUAAUCCCCGAUAGGUCUCGGCUGCUGGAAUGCAUCGAGAUUUAAAGCUCCGGCGCCUAAGGAUGGGUCUGCGGCCUAUCAGGUAGUAGUGGGUGUAGCGUACCUACUAGCCUACGACGGGUACGGGUUGUGAGAGCAAGAGCCCGGAGAUGGAUUCUGAGACACGAAUCCAGGCCCUACGGGGUGCAGCAGGCGCGAAAACUUUACAAUGCUGGCAACAGCGAUAAGGGAACCUCGAGUGCCAGGUUACAAAUCUGGCUGUCGAGAUGCCUAAAAAGCAUUUCAUAGCAAGGGCCGGGCAAGACCGGUGCCAGCCGCCGCGGUAACACCGGCGGCUCGAGUGGUAACCGUUAUUAUUGGGUCUAAAGGGUCCGUAGCCGGCCGGAUAAGUCUCUUGAGAAAUCUGGCAGCUUAACUGUCAGGCUUUCAGGAGAUACUGUCUGGCUCGAGGCCGGGAGAGGUGAGAGGUACUUCAGGGGUAGGGGUGAAAUCUUGUAAUCCUUGAAGGACCACCAGUGGCGAAGGCGUCUCACCAGAACGGACCUGACGGCAAGGGACGAAAGCUAGGGGCACGAACCGGAUUAGAUACCCGGGUAGUCCUAGCCGUAAACGAUACUCGCUAGGUGUCGGCCACGGUGCGACCGUUGUCGGUGCCGUAGGGAAGCCGUGAAGCGAGCCACCUGGGAAGUACGGCCGCAAGGCUGAAACUUAAAGGAAUUGGCGGGGGAGCACCACAACGGGUGGAGCUUGCGGUUUAAUUGGAUUCAACGCCGGAAAUCUUACCGGGACCGACAGCAAUAUGAAGGCCAGGCUGAAGACUUUGCCGGAUUAGCUGAGAGGUGGUGCAUGGCCGUCGUCAGUUCGUACUGUGAAGCAUCCUGUUAAGUCAGGCAACGAGCGAGACCCA
rnacentral:rRNA from 1 species